AAUUCCUGGUUUAACAACAAUAUUAUGAAAGCAAUGAUCGAAAGAGAUCUCGCAUAUAAUAUAUGGAAAACUGAUAAGAAUUUUACUAAUUACAGUCAGUUUAAGAGAUUGAGAAAUAAAGUCACACAUCUAAUCAAUGAGGCUAAAUCUAAUUAUCUCGAGUUGAUUCUUCAGUGUCUAGUAAAGACCUUUGGAACAAGUUAAAACAACUAAAUAUUUCUAAUAAAUCAAAACAUGAUGUGAAAUUCCCCAACUCUAACGCAGAAAUCAACAACUAUUUUACCUCAAAUUUUACUCAAGAUUUGUCACACCCUCCAAUAGUACCAAGGAACAAUGAAGGCUUUCGUUUUUCAGAGAAUUCACAUGUUUGCUGAUGACGUCCAGAUUUACAUAGCUUCUAAUCGACUGUCUAUUCCACAAAUGGCGCAAUUAUUAAAUGAAGAUUUAGCUAACAUUUAUGACUGGUCAUGUUCUAAUCUUUUACCAAUUAACUCAUCCAAAACUAAAGUUAUGCUCUUUUCCAGAAACAGCUCAGAACAUCAGCAGCCUUUAAUAACGCUCGGUCAAAACGUUCUUGAGUAUGUGCUUAAAUAUCCAAGUCUUGGCUUCAUUCUAAAAAAUGAUUUAGAAUGGGAUGGUCAUGUGAAUGGGCAAUGUAGAAAAAUCUAUAUCGGACUUAGAACUUUAAAGCUCUCAGCAAGUAUGUUACCGGUUAAUGUAAAACUCAAACUUUUUAAAUCUCUAUUGUUGCCACAUUUCAUGUAUGGUGAUUGUCAUGUCUUGGCAACACUGCGCGCCAGGAUUGGCGUCACCUGUGCUGCACCACCCUGGUCGUGCGCGCUGACAGCUGAGCUGCCGCGCAACCAACAACAACAUCCGUCACUCCAUCACCAGCAGCAGAAGGAACAACAUUGUGCUUAGUGUUCGUGCUACAUAUUUAGAAGUAUAUUAAAGUAUUUAGUCAG